GACGAACGCUGGCGGCGUGCUUAACACAUGCAAGUCGAACGAAAAGAGGGAAAGAGCUUGCUCUUUCCGGAAUUGAGUGGCAAACGGGUGAGUAACACGUAAACAACCUGCCUUCAGGAUGGGGACAACAGACGGAAACGACUGCUAAUACCGAAUAAGUUCCAAGGGCCGCAUGGCCCAUGGAAGAAAAGGUGGCCUCUACCUGUAAGCUAUCGCCUGAAGAGGGGUUUGCGUCUGAUUAGCUGGUUGGAGGGGUAACGGCCCACCAAGGCGACGAUCAGUAGCCGGUCUGAGAGGAUGAACGGCCACACUGGAACUGAGACACGGUCCAGACUCCUACGGGAGGCAGCAGUGGGGAAUCUUCCGCAAUGGGCGAAAGCCUGACGGAGCAACGCCGCGGGAGUGAUGACGGCCUUCGGGUUGUAAAACUCUGUGAUCCGGGACGAAAAGGCAGAGUGCGAAGAACAAACUGCAUUGACGGUACCGGAAAAGCAAGCCACGGCUAACUACGUG
rnacentral:rRNA from 1 species